rnacentral:rRNA from 1 species
UCAGUUCGGAUUGGAGUCUGNAACCCGACUCCAUGAAGCUGGAUUCGCUAGUAAUCGCGCAUCAGCCACGGCGCGGUGAAUACGUUUCCCGGGCCUUGUACACACCGCCCGUCAAGCCAUGGAAGCCGGGGGUGCCUGAAGUGCGCUGCCGCGAGGAGCGCCCUAGGGUAAAACCGGUGACUGGGGCUAAGUCGUAACAAGGUACC